UUUUUUAUUUAAAAUUAUAAAAUAAGUCCUGCCCACUGAAUUUUAAAGGGCCGCGGAAUUUAACCGUGCAAAGGUAGCAUAAUAAUUAGUUUUUUAAUUGAAAAAUGGAAUGAACGGUCAAAUAAUGUAUAAUUUUUAAGCUAAUAAAAAUUGAAUUAAAAGUAUGAAUGAAAAUUUUCAUUAUUUUUAAUUAGACGAUAAGACCCUAUAGAUCUUUAUAUUAAAAUUUUAAAGUUUAAAAGUUAAUAUAAAAUUUUUUAGAUAUUUUGCUGGGGCGGUGAAAGAAAUAAUUUAACUUCUUAAAUAAUUUAAUCUUGAAGUUUGGGUAUAAAAAAGAUACCUUAGGGAUAACAGCGUUAUAAAACUGGAGAGAUCAAAUUGAUAGUUUUGGUUGCGACCUCGAUGUUGAAUUAGGAAGUAUAAUUUUAGCAGUUUAAAAUUUAAUUAGUCUGUUCGACUAUAAAAUUCUUACA
rnacentral:rRNA from 1 species